rnacentral:tRNA from 1 species
UCCCUGGUGGUCCAGUGGUCAGGACUCAGCGCUUUCACUGUGGGCCCUGGGUUCAAUCCCUGGUUGGGGAA